GUCUGAGUGUGGGCCAGCAGCCGCGGUAAUACGGAGGGGGCUAGGGGUGUGCGGAGUUAGUGGGCGUGAAGGGCGUGUGGGGGGCCAGGGAGGGCUGCGUUGAAAACUCGAGGCGUAACCUCGAGAUGUCGGCGGAAACCAUCUGGCUAGAGUCCGGAAGAGGAGAGUGGAAUUCCUGGUGUAGCGGUGAAAUGCGCAGAUAUCAGGAAGAACACCCGUGGCGAAGGCGGCUCUCUGGGACGGUACUGACGCUGAGACGCGAAAGCGUGGGGAGCGAACAGGAUUAGAUACCCGGUAGUC
rnacentral:rRNA from 1 species